UACGUAGGGGGCAAGCGUUGUCCGGAAUCAUUGGGCGUAAAGCGCGUGUAGGCGGCUCGGUAAGUCUGCUCUGAAAGCCCGGGGCUCAACCCCGGGAGGCGGGUGGAUACUGUCUAGCUCGAGUCCGGAAGAGGAGUGUGGAAUUCCUGGUGUAGCGGUGAAAUGCGCAGAUAUCAGGAGGAACACCAAUGGCGAAGGCAGCACUCUGGGACGUGACUGACGCUGAGACGCGAAAGCGUGGGGAGCAAACAGG
rnacentral:rRNA from 1 species